rnacentral:rRNA from 1 species
AAGUCGUAACAAGGUUUCCGUAGGUGGACCUGCGGAAGGAUCAUUAUUGAAUAAACUUGCACAGGCUGUUGCUGGCCCUCAAGGGUAUGUGCACGCUUGUCAUCUUUAUCUCUCCAACUGUGCACAUAUUGUAGACCUGGAGUCCCUGUUGAUUCAUUUCGAGUUGGGACUGCUGUGCUUUGUACUUCAGAGUCAGCUUUGCCUUUUUCAUACCCAGGUCUAUGUCAUUUUCACAACCUCUUGAAUGUGUUUAGAAUGUUGAAUCAGGUCUUUUUGUACCUAUAAAGUUAAAUAUACAGCUUUCAGCAACGGAUCUCUUGGCUCUCGCAUCGAUGAAGAACGCAGCGAAAUGCGAUAAGUAAUGUGAAUUGCAGAAUUCAGUGAAUCAUCGAAUCUUUGAACGCAUCUUGCGCUCCUUGGUACUCCGAGGAGCAUGCCUGUUUGAGUGUCAUUUAAAUUCUCAACCACAUCAAUUUAUUUGGUGAGGCUUGGAUGUGGGGGUCUUUUUGCGGGCUUCUGUAAAUUUGAAGUCGGCUCCCCUAAAAUGCAUUAGUGGUAUCUGAGCAGAAGAAACUACUACAGGUGUGAUAAUUAUCUACGCCUCAGUAUCCUGCACAAUCAGAUUGUGCUGCUUCUAACGAGUGGAGAUUCCUUUUGGGGGACCACAUUUGUUGAAUUUGACCUCAAAUCAGGUAGGACUACCCGCUGAACUUAAGCAUAUCAAUAAGCGGAGGAAAAGAAACUAACAAGGAUUCCCCUAGUAACUGCGAGUGAAGCGGGAAAAGCUCAAAUUUAAAAUCUGACAGUUGUUCUGGCUGUCCGAGUUGUAAUCUAAAGAAGUGUUUACCCGCGCUGGACCGUGUACAAGUCUCCUGGAAUGGAGCAUCAUAGAGGGUGAGAAUCCCGUCUUUGACAUGGACUACCAGGGCUUUGUGGUGCGCUCUCAAAGAGUCGAGUUGUUUGGGAAUGCAGCUCAAAAUGGGUGGUAAAUGCCAUCUAAAGCUAAAUAUUGGCGAGAGACCGAUAGCGAACAAGUACCGUGAGGGAAAGAUGAAAAGAACUUUGGAAAGAGAGUUAAACAGUACGUGAAAUUGCUGAAAGGGAAACGCUUGAAGUCAGUCGCAUCGACUGGAAAUCAACCUUGCUUUUGCUUGGUGUAUUUUCUGGCUUGAUGGGUCAGCAUCAAUUUUGGUCGCUGGAUAAAGGCUUGGGGAAUGUGGCAUCUUAGGAUGUGUUAUAGCCCUCGGUUGCAUACAGCGGUUGGGAUUGAGGAACUCAGCACGCCGCAAGGCCGGGUCGUUUUACGACCACGUUUACGUGCUUAGGAUGCUGGCAUAAUGGCUUUAAUCGACC